UACGGAGGGUGCAAGCGUUAAUCGGAAUUACUGGGCGUAAAGCGUGCGUAGGUGGUUCGUUAAGUCCGUUGUGAAAGCCCCGAGCUCAACUUGGGAAUUGCAGUGGAUACUGGCGAGCUGGAGUGCGGUAGAGGAAGGUGGAAUUCCCGGUGUAGCGGUGAAAUGCGUAGAGAUCGGGAGGAACACCAGUGGCGAAGGCGGCCUGCUGGACCAGCACUGACACUCAAGCACGAAAGCGUGGGGAGCAAACAGG
rnacentral:rRNA from 1 species